CAAAUUGUAAGGUCCAAAUUAAUG
rnacentral:siRNA from 1 species